UACGAAGGGGGCUAGCGUUGUUCGGAAUUACUGGGCGUAAAGCGCGCGCAGGCGGUUUCUCAAGUCAGUGGUGAAAGCCCGGAGCUCAACUCCGGAACUGCCAUUGAAACUGUGAGACUUGAGGACGAGAGAGGUGAGUGGAAUUCCCAGUGUAGAGGUGAAAUUCGUAGAUAUUCGCAAGAACACCAGUGGCGAAGGCGGCUUACUGGUCCGGUUCGUGACGCUGAGGCGCGAAAGCGUGGGGAGCAAACAGG
rnacentral:rRNA from 1 species